UCAUAUUUACCCUCCGACUUUGAGCACCCUUCUCACAAACUGACAAACAAAACAACAUACAUGGAAGACUAAGACGGCCGUUAUGUCAUGUUUUCUCUUCAUUCACAGAGAAUGCAAGUGAGGAUCAUCGUGGAAUUAGUGAUUCAGCCUCAAGCCAGGGAUGAUUUGGAGGCUUUUCUUGGCGAAAAGAGUAGUGAAUUUGUGUCCUGAAGAGCAAAGUUCUAGGAGAUAUGUAGCGGAUGAGGUUAAUCGUCAUGAUAUGGAAAUUUAUUUGGUGGUGAGAAGAACGUUGGAUACGGGGCAGAGAAAUUAAGAUUGUCAAGAUACCCGUGAGAUGUUCCCUCGACAUCAGUCUUCAGUGGAGAGAAUAUUAGGUUCUGCGAGUUCACAAUCUGCAAUGGCAGGUACUGUACAUCUUUUUGAUUGUCAUCAGGUUGAGAGUGUCAAAUACUAUCUCUUGUGAUUAAUCUUUCGAUUGUCAUAUAACAAUACUUAACCUCUGGUCAUUAAUAAGGAAAAUGGUGCUCAAGGUACUUGUCUGUCUACCCACGACUCAGUUCAUCAUUAAGUCUAGCAUUAGUGUUUCUCUUAUGUUCUUAUUUAUAGUCUUUAUCUUUAUCAGCUUUAAUUUAAAUGUGUCACUUGUACGAACUUGAUUAUGAUUUUCAACUCCCAGUAUAGUGAAGGGUCUGCUUUAAAAGAAGGCGUACAAAAUACUCCCCGUUAGUCUCGUGGUUGUUAUGGUUUCUGACAAGUUUCAUUCUCCGUAGUCUCAUGUUGUAAAGCUCGAACCUGAUUGAGAUAAAUCAGUACUCAGCAAAAAUGUGUAUUUUCGCAUAUUUUCUGUUCAAUGACAUUAUUUGCCAUUUAUAUAUAAUUUUGGAUUUUGUUUA